ensembl:scaRNA
GGUCAGUGAUGAGAUGUAAAAGGUCUGAAGCCUUCGUCUCCUUCCAGUCCUCCCGUCCCUCCCAGCAGCCUCGGCUCAUUUUGUCCAGCUUGCUCUAGUCGUGCAUCGCUGGUUGGAGGAGGCGGCUGAUAUUAUGGACGUUUCUGCUGUAUAUGUAGAGUCUUUUCGAGAAUAAGACGACUUGAUAACAGCAGCGUCAAACAGAAGCACGACACACAGGAGGGUCGGACUGAAGACAGGCUCAUGAUCUCAAGUUUUCAAGCUGAGACC